rnacentral:ncRNA from 1 species
GUAUCACUUGACAAGAUCGUCAAUCAGAACACGGGCUUAUACGAAUUUAUCCCUAUGCUAAACUAAUUACGUGUUAGCCACUGCAAGCAACCUGGAUUUGUGUGUGUCGGGCCUUUGGUUCGGCGUGCGCCCAGCGCGAUAACGCAAUCGACUUCGGCGAGAGUUCUCUUUUCUUUGUUAGGAGUGCAUCCACCCCCUGGAAUCGGCUUGUCCGGAGUUAGGGGGCUAGCCUCCGUAAAGCAUCACCCUUCUUGUGGUGUUCGGAACGCUCUUGUCGGCCCUUGAAAAUCCGAGCGAGGCAGUAUAAUUUUCGGGCAGGCCGUACCCAUAUCCGCAGCAGGU